GGACAAGAAAGAUGCUCUCCCAGGAGCCAGCAUCGUGAUCACAACAUAUGCAGUUUUCCUGUGGCUGAUGACCCAGCAGUGGUGGUGUGGAGGGGCCCCUCAUGCUCCACUCUGCUUUUCUCUCUUGCUUAUUCUGAAGAAACUAGCUGCCUUGUUCUGAGUUACUCUGUGGAGAGACCCACAUAUUAAGGAACUGAGAGCAUGACCACUGGCCAACAGCCCUGGAGUGAUUGAAUGUUUCCAAAAACCACUCACAUGAGCUUGGAAGAGGAUCAUUCCCCGUUCAAACCUUCAGCUGAGACUGCAGCCCUGCCGAUACCUUGAUUGCAACCUGGUGGGAUGCUUCUAAGACACCUCCAUUCCAGUUUCUGCACAUCUGCUUGACUCAUGGGAAGCUCAUGCAUCCUUGGCACCUGGAUCAGGGUCUCAAUCAGAUGCCAGUCUCCCCAGACUUCAGGGAAUUCACAGCAAACUAGAGAUAUUUCCUGUAAGUUCCUCUCACCAGGCAAGGCUGUGGUCAGGAGUCAUUGCCUCUCUCCUCUUCCAAGGGGACUGAGACUAACUUCAUACUGGACUACUUUCUCCAGAAAAAUCCUCUCCCCAGUUUCCAACUUCAGCCUUUUCAGAGAUGGCCGUUGGACCAAGAGUCAGAAAACUAUUUCCAUUUAGACCCUUUGCAAGGUUGGAAAUGUCAG